rnacentral:rRNA from 1 species
GGGGAUAACACUUAGAAAUAGGUGCUAAUACCGCAUAAGCGCACGGAGCUGCAUGGCUCAGUGUGAAAAACUCCGGUGGUAUAUGAUGGACCCGCGUCUGAUUAGCUUGUUGGCGGGGUAACGGCCCACCAAGGCGACGAUCAGUAGCCGGCCUGAGAGGGUGGACGGCCACAUUGGGACUGAGACACGGCCCAAACUCCUACGGGAGGCAGCAGUGGGGAAUAUUGGACAAUGGGGGGAACCCUGAUCCAGCGACGCCGCGUGAGUGAAGAAGUAUCUCGGUAUGUAAAGCUCUAUCAGCAGGGAAGAAAGAAAUGACGGUACCUGACCAAGAAGCCCCGGCUAACUACGUGCCAGCAGCCGCGGUAAUACGUAGGGGGCAAGCGUUAUCCGGAUUUACUGGGUGUAAAGGGAGCGUAGACGGUAAUGCAAGUCUGGAGUGAAAUGCAGGGGCUCAACCCCUGAACUGCUUUGGAAACUGUAUGACUGGAGUGCAGGAGAGGUAAGUGGAAUUCCUAGUGUAGCGGUGAAAUGCGUAGAUAUUAGGAGGAACACCAGUGGCGAAGGCGGCUUACUGGACUGUAACUGACGUUGAGGCUCGAAAGCGUGGGGAGCAAAUAGGAUUAGAUACCCUGGUAGUCCACGCCGUAAACGAUGAU